UGGCUCAGAACGAACGCUGGCGGCAGGCUUAACACAUGCAAGUCGAGCGCCCCGCAAGGGGAGCGGCAGACGGGUGAGUAACGCGUGGGAAUCUACCCUUGACUACGGAAUAACGCAGGGAAACUUGUGCUAAUACCGUAUGUGUCCUUCGGGAGAAAGAUUUAUCGGUCAAGGAUGAGCCCGCGUUGGAUUAGCUAGUUGGUGGGGUAAAGGCCUACCAAGGCGACGAUCCAUAGCUGGUCUGAGAGGAUGAUCAGCCACAUUGGGACUGAGACACGGCCCAAACUCCUACGGGAGGCAGCAGUGGG
rnacentral:rRNA from 4 species